CAGCAUCCGCUACUUCCCGUGAAGCAACAACCAAUUCUAUAUUGGACUCGACCACACCAAAUCCCACUACAACUACAACAUCCACUACUUCUCGUGAAGCAACGACAAAUUCUUUAUUGGACUCGACCACACCAAAUCCCACUACACCUACAAAAUCAACUUCAACACAAUACACCACAACCAUGUCUACGGCGGGCUCAACCGCCUCACGUACUAUAACAGCUACUC